AAUGAACGUUGGCGGCGUGCCUAACACAUGCAAGUCGAGCGUGAAAGUCCUUCGGGAUGAGUAAAGCGGCAGACGGGUGAGUAACGCGUGAGAAUUUUCCUUUCAGUGAAGAAUACCUUUGGGAAACUAAAGUUAAUACUGCAUAAGUCUCUAACGAGAGAAAGAUGGCCUAAUUGCUGUCGCUGAAAGAUAAGCUUGCGUUCUAUUAGCUAGUUGGUGAGGUAAUGGCUCACCAAGGCGAUGAUGGAUAGCCGGCCUGAGAGGGCGAACGGCCACAUUGGAACUUAGACACGGCCCAGACUCCUACGGGAGGCAGCAGUGGGGAAUAUUGGACAAUGGGGGGAACCCUGAUCCAGCCAUGCCGCGUGUGUGAAGAAGGCCUUAUGGUUGUAAAGCACUUUAAGCGAGGAGGAGGCUACUCUAGUUAAUACCUAGGGAUAGUGGACGUUACUCGCAGAAUAAGCACCGGCUAACUCUGUGCCAGCCGCCGCCGUAA
rnacentral:rRNA from 1 species